AAUGAACGCUGGCGGCAUGCCUUACACAUGCAAGUCGAACGGCAGCAUGACCUAGCUUGCUAGGUUGAUGGCGAGUGGCGAACGGGUGAGUAAUGCACCUGAACGUGCCUUUUAGUGGGGGAUAACGUAUCGAAAGUUACGCUAAUACCGCAUAUUCUCUGAGGAGGAAAGCAGGGACCUUCGUGCCAUCCUCUAGAAUAGCGGCCGAUGUCGUAUUAGUUAGUUGUUGAGGGAAUGACUCCCCACGGCAACGAUCCGUAGCGGGUCUGAGAGGAUGAUCCGCAACACUGAGACUGAGAAAGGGCCCAGACUCCUAGGGGAGGAAGAAGUGGGAAAUUUUGAACAAGGGGCGAAAGCCUGAUCAAGCCAUGCGGCGGGAGUGAAGAAGGCCUUCGGGUUGUAAAGCUCUUUCGGCUGAGAAAAAAGCGCCACCUCUAAUACAGGGUGUGGAUGACGUUACCAGAAUAAGAAGAACCGGUAAACUACGU
rnacentral:rRNA from 1 species